GCCCAGCAGGGCAGUGGCGGUGGGGUCUGUGGAAGUGCGUGGGUAACAUAUGGCCAUGCAUACUUUAUAUUUGAGAGUUCAAUGUCAGAAUGUGGGAGAAGAGUGGUGCACAGUGCCUGAUGAGGUGGUGUGCUCUCUUCAUGUGAGAAGUCGUGUCAUCCAGGGAGCGCUGGGGUUGGCUCAUUAAAAUAUCACCUGGUUAAAGUAAAUCAAUGUUGAUAGAAUUGUUGAAGGUAUUCCCCCUCGUGGAGCUGGUUUGUCCUGCCGAUCAACUGGUUACUCCCAUCGCGGGCUGAAUGGAAACCCCUCCUUUCUGCUCGGCAUCCCAUACCUGCAUUAAUGAGCAAGGCUCCCGCAAUGUAAUCAGAAGCCUGGGUUGAGGGGUGGUGACUAAUACGUUUCAUUUCCUUUUAUCAACAGCAGUAGUGCAAAAGAAUUAGAGAGGGCAGUAUUUGCUUUUUGGGACUUCCAAAAAUGAAAGGGUGUGAGCAUGGAGCAAAUGAAUAUGGAAUAGUUGAUUCGUACCCGUAAACUGUACAGACGCAUCAAUGAAACAGUAAGAUGCAUUCUGAAAUGUUAAGAAAAAUUGCCGAAACUUGUAAAAAGCUUUUUGUUGUUGCUUUUGUGUGUUUCGAAGCAUCAGAGAAAAGGGUUUGGGGCUUUUAACAAAUGUGGCAAAUCUGCCAAGCUUUGGGUCAGGAAGACUCAAGGCAUCUGGAGACUUGAUCAAGGCCAGAAGAUGCACAGUUGAUCAAAUAAAG
rnacentral:lncRNA from 1 species